UACGUAGGGUGCAAGCGUUAAUCGGAAUUACUGGGCGUAAAGCGUGCGCAGGCGGUGAUGUAAGACAGUUGUGAAAUCCCCGGGCUCAACCUGGGAACUGCAUCUGUGACUGCAUCGCUGGAGUACGGCAGAGGGGGAUGGAAUUCCGCGUGUAGCAGUGAAAUGCGUAGAUAUGCGGAGGAACACCGAUGGCGAAGGCAAUCCCCUGGGCCUGUACUGACGCUCAUGCACGAAAGCGUGGGGAGCAAAUGGG
rnacentral:rRNA from 1 species